UAUUAAUUCCUUCCUCAAUCCUCACACAAUCGUCACUCCUCUCUCUCCUUCUCUCUCCUCGCUCAACAAUGCCCUCUUACCGGCGUGUGGCUUGAGUUUUCUCUCUCCUCAUCUUUCUUGGCCUGCACCUCUCCCUCAUUUUUCUCUCUCCUCUAAAUUCCUUUUAUCUUCAUCGAAAACCCUAGCACAGUUCUUCAAGUUCAUGCUGUUGAAAACUUAGAAAAAUUCAAUCAGUUUUCAACACUAGUUUGUUGGUGAUUUUUUAUAAAUAGAUUUUUUUUUCUAUGGAUCAUAUCGUUGGAAGCAAGUAUAAGCUCGAUUGUAAGACCGAUAGUGGUUCUUUUGGUGAAAUUUACUUAGUAUGCUGAGGAAGAAGACGUGAAGACGAUGAAGGAUGAGUUGAUUCAACGCUGAUGCUGCAGUUAAGGAAGAAGAUGAUGUAGAGGAGCCUGAAAUCAAAAUGAAGGGUGAUCCUUCAUCAAAUGUCGAAGCUGAUGACGUGAAGGAUGAACAUCUGCUUGGUCAUAUUAUGGGAAAGUAUGGGUUUUAUUGUUGAAUUUUAAUUUAAAUUUAAGUAAAUGUGUAUACAAGUUGUAAUUGAAGCAAUAAUAAAAUGAAAAUAAUGAAUUUAAUUUGGAGUUC